rnacentral:rRNA from 1 species
UGCGCAGGUGGGCUUGUAAGUCAGUGGUGAAAUACUGCCGCUUAACGGUAGAACUGCCAUUGAUACUGCAAGUCUUGAAUAUGGUUGAGGUAGGCGGAAUGUGUUGUGUAGCGGUGAAAUGCAUAGAUAUGACACAGAACGCCGAUUGCGAAGGCAGCUUACUAAGCCAUGAUUGACGCUGAGGCACGAAAGCGUGGGGAGCGAACA